rnacentral:rRNA from 1 species
AACGAACGCUGGCGGCAGGCCUAACACAUGCAAGUCGAGCGAAGCCUUCGGGCUUAGCGGCGGACGGGUGAGUAACGCGUGGGAACGUGCCCUUUGGUACGGAAUAGCCCCGGGAAACUGGGAGUAAUACCGUAUGUGGUCGAGAGACGAAAGAUUUAUCGCCAAAGGAUCGGCCCGCGUUGGAUUAGGUAGUUGGUGGGGUAAUGGCCUACCAAGCCGACGAUCCAUAGCUGGUUUGAGAGGAUGAUCAGCCACACUGGGACUGAGACACGGCCCAGACUACUACGGGAGGCAGCAGUGGGGAAUCUUAGACAAUGGGGGAAACCCUGAUCUAGCCAUGCCGCGUGAUCGAUGAAGGCCUUAGGGUUGUAAAGAUCUUUCAGUGGGGAAGAUAAUGACUGUACCCACAGAGGAAGCCCCGACUAACUCCGUGCCAGCAGCCGCAGUAAGAC